GCUCCUAGCGGUCAGGAUUCCUGGUUUUUACCCAGGUGUCCUGGGUUCAACUCCCAGUGUGGGCA
rnacentral:tRNA from 1 species